CAGAUGCUGACUUAUCAACUGAACCUCCUUCGAGUCUCUUAUUUUCCUCCAAAAGCAGCAGCAGCGGACGGUAAUCAGAAGGAGAGCACUUUGCUCCUGGUCAUAACUGGAUCAAAACCUGCCAGACAGGAGUAGCUCUCCUGUUUUUGUUUUUCCCUGUGCAAGUCCUGUAGGGAUCCACUCUUCACAAGAAGCAACUCAAAAUGAAGAAUCUCAUUACAAAGUCAAACAUAAACAAAUGAUGUCCCUGGCUGCCCAUCAUGCUCCUAUACAGCUGAGGCCGCAGAGAGCGAUGGCAUCUUUCAACAUCUCUGAAGCAGCUAGGAGACGGUUUGUGCCCAUGGGAAUCUAAACAGUAUCUAAGGCUGUUGUGAAGCUGCGUGCCUCCACCUGGACUAGAAGAGGAAGAUGAACUCUUGGCUCCCAUCUGCCCACCAGGCCACUACUGAAACGUUUCUCUGGCCCAGUCGAGCUCUUGGCCUCAUCCUCUCCAACUGAAGAUCAGCCAGAUAGCAUUAUCUCUGCACCAAUAGGGUGCCUGAAUCCGUACCUCAUUCCACAGGUAGCCUUUCCAACAGGCUGGAAUAAAGAAAGUUGCUUUUAUUAGGAGCCAACCAAUAGGAGAGCAGAGAUGUGAUCCAAUAGUAUUAUGGCCACAAUGUGCUGUUUGAGGUAUUUCUGACUGAGGUUUGUUGGUAUGAAGCUGCUGAGGCGAGGAGGACUUGUUAAACAUUUUAAUUGAUACCCCCAAGAAAUCUAUUCUGCUUUUAAUGUUAACAUUUUGCUGAAUUAUGAAAUUCUUUUUUUUUUUCAUCCUAGAGGAAAUAUACAUUAAGUACAAAAUCCUAUUGAUGUUUUGUCUGUGUUUUAAACAAAAAGGUUCUUGAAACUAUGGUAGUUAAAAAGGAAAACUAUUUUUUUCCCCUGCAGUUAAGGACUUUGCUAUAAAUAAUGGUAAAAAAAAAAAAAAAGGAUGACAAGUUUC